UUGGCUCAAAGCGGAUGAUUUUAGCUUAUACAAGGAUCCGACCGAUGAUGACCUUGCUUUUUAUCAAGAAAUUGAAGAAAUUGAAAAAAGCUCAAGUCACUCAACCAUUACUCAAGAGACUCGAGAUGGUUCUCCAAAUUUAUCUUCUACUAGUUAAUCCACCAAAUGAUGAGGUUAAUAUUUCUAGAUGAUUUCGACAAGAUGAAGGGUUUGGUGUUCAAGAAUCAAGAUCAAGACAACUACUAGUUUUUGCUAAUUAUUGUGAUGGAGUUUGUUCAAACUUUAUGGUGUGUUUUUUUGUACUUGGUUGUGUUGUAUUUUGAUUAUGGAGAUAAGAACACUAUUAAUUUUA